GAUGAACGCUAGCUACAGGCUUAACACAUGCAAGUCGAGGGGAAACGACAUCGAAAGCUUGCUUUUGAUGGGCGUCGACCGGCGCACGGGUGAGUAACGCGUAUCCAACCUGCCCACCACUUGGGGAUAACCUUGCGAAAGUAAGACUAAUACCCAAUGAUAUCUCUAGAAGACAUCUGAAAGAGAUUAAAGAUUUAUCGGUGAUGGAUGGGGAUGCGUCUGAUUAGCUUGUUGGCGGGGUAACGGCCCACCAAGGCUACGAUCAGUAGGGGUUCUGAGAGGAAGGUCCCCCACAUGGGAACUGAGACACGGUCAAAACUACUACGGGAGGCAGCAGUGAGGAAUAGUGGUCAAUGGGCGAGAGCCUGAACCAGCCAAGUAGCGUUCAGGAUGACGGCCCUAUGGGUUGUAAACUGCUUUUAUGAGGGAAUAAAGUGAGCCUCGUGAGGCUUUUUGCAUGUACCUUAUGAAUAAGGACCGGCUAAUUCCGUGCCAGCCGCCGCCGUAA
rnacentral:rRNA from 1 species